rnacentral:rRNA from 1 species
UACGUAGGUGACAAGCGUUGUCCGGAUUUACUGGGCGUAAAGGGCGCGUAGGCGGCGCAACAAGUCACUUGUGAAAUCUCCGGGCUUAACCCGGAGCGGUCAAGUGAUACUGUCGUGCUAGAGUGCGGAAGGGGCUACUGGAAUUCCCGGUGUAGUGGUGGAAUGCGUAGAUAUCGGGAGGAACACCAGUGGCGAAGGCGGUUGCCUGGAGCUUGCUGACGCUGAUGCGCGAAAGCGUGGGGAGCGAUCCGG